rnacentral:piRNA from 1 species
UAAAUAUUCAAAUAUUAAAAUUAAUUGUAAAC